AGAGUUUGAUCAUGGCUCAGAAUCAACGCUGGCGGCGUGCCUCAGACAUGCAAGUCGAACGAUUAAAGCUCCCUUCGGGGAGUGCAUAAAGUGGCGCACGGGUGAGUAACACGUAAGUAAUCUACCUUCGAGUGGGGAAUAACAGUCGGAAACGACUGCUAAUACCGCAUAACGCAGCGGCAUCGCAAGAUGACAGUUGUUAAAGGAGCAAUCCGCUUGAAGAGGAGCUUGCGGCAGAUUAGCUAGUUGGUAAGGUAACGGCUUACCAAGGCAACGAUCUGUAUCCGGUCUAAGAGGACGGUCGGACACACUGACACUGAAUAACGGGUCAGACUCCUACGGGAGGCAGCAGUCGGGAAUUUUGGGCAAUGGGGGAAACCCUGACCCAGCAACGCCGCGUGAAGGAUGAAGUAUUUCGGUAUGUAAACUUCGAAAGAAUGGGAAGAAUAAAUGACGGUACCAUUUAUAAGCUCCGGCUAACUACGUGCCAGCAGCCGCGGUAAUACGUAGGGAGCAAGCGUUGUUCGGAUUUACUGGGCGUAAGGGCGCGUAGGCGGCGCGGUAAGUCACUUGUGAAAUCUCUGAGCUUAACUCAGAACGGCCAAGUGAUACUGCAGUGCUAGAGUGCAGAAAGGGCAAUCGGAAUUCUUGGUGUAGCGGUGAAAUGCAGAUAUCAAGAGGAACACCUGAGGCGAAGGCGGGUUGCUAGGCUGACACUGACGCUGAGUGCGCGAAAGCCAGGGGAGCAAACGGGAUUAGAUACCCUAGUAGUCC
rnacentral:rRNA from 1 species